GUAGAUAUAGUUUAACAUAAAACAUCAGACUGUGGCUCUAAAAACAGGGGUUAAAAUCCCCUUAUUUACC
rnacentral:tRNA from 1 species